AAUAAAGUGCCUGACUAAAGGAUUAUUCUGAUAGAAUAAAUAAAGUAAUUUUUUACCUUUAUUA
rnacentral:tRNA from 1 species